CCCCGGAAGUGGUCGCAGUCGGCCCGGAAGUAGAAACCGCAGCGCGGCGUCCCCUUCGGGCGCACCUGAGAGGGUUGGUUCCUGGGCGGGCGUUUCCUCUGUGAGAGAGACCUCAGGUGACCGUGGUUCAAACCAAACCGACGGACUUAGCUCUUUACCCCACGCCCCUGGCGCCGAAGGAAGACUGCGGAUCUGCAGGCGCUGCCCGCGGCGGCCUGUGUGCGCCCCACGCGGGGGAAGCCACGGCUUCCUCCAGGGAUCCCGUCCCUCGCGCCUCGGCGCCCAGGGCAUCGCCCUCUCCAGCUUUUGAGUCCUGUGGAUUAUGGCGCGGUUUGGAAUGGCUCGCUGCUUCUGGGAUUUGGAGUUCUAGCCGAUUGAACUGCAGCCGACUGCUUGGCCACGCUCAAGACCUUAAGCCACCUUUAGAUUGUCUGCUGUCAACUGGCGGUUGUUGGCAUCCGUUCAACUCCAAUAGCAAACCCCAAUGUGGGGUACAGGGAAGGAGAAUUUAUUCAAAGCAGCCCAAAUGCCGGACAGCACAGGGGAGGAACAGCAGGGCCGUGAGGCAGGUCAGGUGUGAGGCAGCCCAGUGGUCCAGCCUGGCCCCUCUCUGGCCAGACAGCCAGACUCUGCUCAUCCACUCUGGCCUGGCCCAGCCGGCCAUCUUCCCUGGUACAGCUCCAGCAGGAAAACACAAUCUUUGGUAGACAAGGAGAGCCCAUUCCCUGAGUCAGAGAGAAUCUGACUUCCAGAGCAGGAAGUGCUCCCUCCCUUGGGCAAAUGAGGACUCCUCAUCCUCAGUUUGAUUGGUACAAACAAAAUAAAACAAACACUGCCCUGAUUUGGCCUAAUGGAGGCACCUGAUUGGUCAAUGAAAAUGCUGAUGGGACUACAGCUGUGCAGCUCCCAGUGCAUGGAAAAAGCCUCAGUCCUAUUGGUUGAAAUAGGAUUCCAGGAAUUCCUUUAGAAGGGUUGGCUCAGAUGGCCAGCGGGCAGUUUAGUGCAGGCUGCUCCCUCCCGGAAGUGUAGCCUGUGUGAAAGGCCCCUGUUUGGCAAGGCUGCUAGGCCCUGAUUUUACAUUUGGCCAAAUUGGCCACCAAGAGCCCUUUUUAGUAAUUUUUUUCUUGGAGUCAGUAGUUGUCUGUCACAGAUUAAGUUUAAAAACAGGACUUCUUAUCCAACCUGGCAGAAUGGGUCUUCACAUUUGGGGGCACAGUGUUGGAAUUUGGACAUGAGAAAGACCUGAGCACUGAUCCUAGCUCAAUCCCUCACUAGGUGUGAGACCUUGGGCUGAUUACCUAACCUUUUUCCAGUGUGUAUCUCUUGUUUGUAAAAUGACUAAUAGUAAAGGCUUCUCUGGAAGACUUCA